rnacentral:lncRNA from 1 species
GAUCAUACAUGCACAAGUGUUCAGUGACCUAGUGAAUGUGAUUUCAAUAUCUCCUGUCUCUUGGAUUUCCCCAGAUCUCUGCAUAACAGAUAAGUUGCCAAAAGGAAACUGUAAUUUCUGACAAAGUUUGUUAAUCAAAUCAAAUACAUGACAUAUCCAAGAUAUAUAUUUAUAAUCUGUGUGGUCAAGUCUCAGUAAUCUAUGAGAUUGAAAGUUACAUGCUCAAUGUUUUUCCAUCACUGAUAUGACUUCGAGGAUUUAUCAGUGAUAUCACUUUGGAAACAAGUAGAAGAUUGCUGGAACCCUGCCAAACCCCUGUUGAGGUGAUAAGGAGUCUCUAAUGGUUAGAGAAACAAGUAGAAGAUUGCUGGAACCCUGCCAAACCCCUGUUGAGGUGAUAAGGAGUCUCUAAUGGUUAGAGACUGACUAACAUGUUCUGAAUGUAGCUCUUUUUCAGGUGGAGAACAAAUGGAACCUAAAAAAUAGCCUUAUCUGGACUGCAACGUUCUCUAGAGCAGUAGAAUGAAGAGAAAUGGCAUGCUCUUGGAAUUCAUGAGAAUAUCUGGCAAGCAGAAAAUUUUCUUUUGGUGGGGUGAGACGUUGGCUCUCUCUCUCUCUCUCUCUCUCUCUCUCUCUCUCUCACCCUUGAAUAAGCACUCCAACACACACCCUCCCAAGCUGCUUUGGGGGCCUAGGUAGUAGAGGUUGAAAAAAAAAAACACAGAAGAGUAUAUCCAAAUACACACUGUGUUAGGUCUGACUGUUAGUGGUCCAUAUCCUUCCUUACCUUCAUCCAAACCACCCCCAUCCCCAACACACACACACCCACACACACAUCACUUCCCUUCCUCCUUUUUCAAGACAUGGGUGUACAACUGUGAGCUUUUGGGGGGAAUAAAACCCCCUGGCCUGGACAGCACAGGGGUAUUGCAGAGCAGGAUGGCGAGAGGGACGGCUGCACUGGUUUUGCAUGGAUUUGUCCUCCUGCUGGCUGUGUGUGGACCCUCACUACAAGGAGGGGUCUACAUACCACCUGCAGGAGGAGGAGCUGGAGCUGGACUAGGGGCUGGCGUUGGACCUGGAACCGGAGUAGGGACUGGCGGUAUAAGUACUGGAAUUCGUCCAGGGACUGGGCCUGGAGGUGGACUAGGAACUGGACCAGGAGGAGGGACUGGAUUUGGAGUGCCAGGAGCUGGAACUGGAGCAUAUGGCCCUGGCCUUGGUGCAGGAGGAGUUGGACCAGGCGGUUAUGGCACAGGCCUUGGAGCAGGUGGAUCAGUCCCUGGAGGGGUUGGAACUGGGGGACCAGGUGUUGGUUUGGGCACUGGAGGUCUUGGAACAGGGCCUGGUGUAAAGCCCCCCAAAACAGGAUAUGGUUUCGGACCUGGUGGUGGUGUGAGUAGUGGCAUUGGACCCGGGGGAGUUGGACCAGGAGGUAUUGGACCAGGGGGAGAUGGUCCUGGGGGCAUUGGACCAGGGGGAGUUGGUCCAGGGGGAAUUGGACCAGGCGGAGUUGGACCAGGAGGAGUUGGACCAGGAGGAGUUGGUCCAGGGGGCAUUGGACCAGGAGGAGUUGGUCCAGGGGGAAUUAGACCGGGAGGAGUUGGACCAGGAGGAGUUGGACCAGGAGGAGUUGGUCCAGGAGGAGUUGGACCAGGUGGUGUAGGUUUUGGAACAGGUAAGGCUAUCCAUAAUGUAAUUCAGGAAACUCAUUAGCAUGACAACAGUCUUCUUAUUUUUAGCUUUG